rnacentral:tRNA from 1 species
GUGAGUAUAGUUUAAUAAAGACAUUAGAUUGUGAUUCUGAAAACAGGGGUGGAACCCCCCUUACCCACC